rnacentral:rRNA from 1 species
UACUCCUACGGGAGGCAGCAGUGGGGAAUAUUGCACAAUGGGCGCAAGCCUGAUGCAGCCAUGCCGCGUGUAUGAAGAAGGCCCUAGGGUUGUAAAGUACUUUCAGUCGGGAGGAAGGCGUUGAUGUUAAUACCAUCAACGUAUUGACGUUACCGACAGAAGAAGCACCGGCUAACUCCGUGCCAGCAGCCGCGGUAAUA